ensembl:lncRNA
AUUCUCCACUUUGAUCCAUUCUGUGUGCAGUGCCCUAUCCAGUAAGGUACUGAUCACUUAGACUAUAUGGGAUCAGUGCCUGUCUGGGUGGAGUAAUGCUUGACAGGAACAACAUUUGGGAGGGUCUUCAGACUGGUGCUGGGGAUGAAAUGCAUGUUUCCUUGAGCUGCUAAACUUGAGCUCUAGACGUCCCUUGGAAGGAACUGGGUCUGAUCUGGGUCACCCUUAAAAUGAUUUCCGUGGUCCAUUCCUAACAAUGCCAACAACUAUGAAUUAGAGUACAUGAAGAUAUUUCCUAAUAGAAAGAGAGAAAGGAGGAGCAAGCUGCUUCACCACAUACAGCAGGUGAGGUGAUCCCCAUUAAGGGAUGUUUGCAAAUUGGAGGGCAGUUGGUCAGCAUUGUCUAGAGUGACAUAAAAAUCUUGAGUACCACCACCAUGAAUUGUGAGGAGAGUCAUGAAAGCUACAUUAGAGAGUGCGAAGGCGACUGGACAGGUCCUGUGCCUUGAGCCAUGCUAUGUGUAGGGCCCUGUGAAGAAUGCUGCUGAUUAAUUAGAUUAUGUUUACUUGGUGCCUUCUGGGUAGUGAUGCUCAACAAGAAAAAGAUUUGUGGUGGAUUUAGGACCAGCAGUUGGAGUGAAGCUCAGGUGUUGUUGAGCUUCCUGUCGACUUCAGGAGGGCCCUGGAAUCCACCUGGAUCUCAGGCAUCCUCAAGAAGAUAGCUGUGGUCCGUUCCUAACAUUGUGAACACGUACAGGCUACAGAAGAUGAAGAUUAUUCCUAAUAGAAGAAUAGAAAACAGAGGAAGCAUGUCAACUCGGGUCGUUAGAGUCAUCCAGGUAAAUCAAGAGCAGGGAAGCAGGUCCCCACUGAGGUAGAGAGUUAAGACGGAUGGCAGAGGGUCAGUGUUUUCUAGGGUUAUGGAAAAAUCUUGUGUACAGUCAUUAUCACGUGGUGGGGAGAGAAUGAAAGCUUCAUCUGAGAUUAGGAGAACGACUGGGCAGAUCCUUCACCUUGAGCCAUGCUGUGUGCAGUGCCCUACCCACAAGGUACUGAUCUCGUAGACUAUGUGUAAUUAGUACCUUUCCGGCAACUGUAAUGCUCCACCAGAAUAUGUGUGGAAGCCUUCAGACCAGUGCUGGGGAUGGAGAUGCAUGUGUACUUGAGUUGUGGACUUUGCCCUCAGGAGGGCCCUGACAGCCACCUGUGCUUGAUCUCAGGCAUCCUACAGAGGAUUCCUGUUGUCCAUUCCUAACUAUGUGAACACCUGGAGGUUAAGGAAGACAAAGAUUGUUCCUAAUAAGAAAGAGGAGCAAGCCUUUUCUCUCUGGGUCCUUGUAAUUAUCUAGGUAACCGUAGAACAGGAGAGGUGAUCCCAAGUGUGAGACGGUUGCAAGUUGGAUGGCAAUGGGUCAGAAUUGUCUAAAGUUAUGGAAAAAUCUUGGGGAAAGUCAUCAUAAUGUGGUGGAGAGUCAUGAUACCUACAUUUGAGAGUGCGAAGGAGUCUGGACAGGUCAUCCACCUUGAGCCAUAUGGCGUGCAGUGACCUGCCCAGGAUGUUGCUGUUUACUUAGACUACGUGCAUUCAGUGCCUUGUGGGAAGAGUGAUGUUCAACAAGAAGAAUGUUUUGGUGGACUUAGGAGGAAUGAUGGGAAUGGAGCCUCAGCUGUUCUUGAACAUCCUGCCUUGCCCUCAGAGGGGUCUGGCAACAGCCUGGAACUCAGGCAUCCUCAAGGAUGUUGCUGUGGUCCAUUCUUAGAUUGUGAAGAGCUAAAGGUUAGAGAAGAUUAAGAUUAUUCCUAAUAGCAGAAUAGAAACCUGAAGGAAGAUUGUGGUCUCUGGAGCAACAUCAUCAUCCAGGUGAAAAGAGAGUAGGUGGCCGAUCCCCACUAAGUAAGAGAAUCAAGUUGAAUGGCAUUGAGUAUGUAUUUUAUAGGGUAAUGGGAAAAUCUUGUGUACAGUCAUCAAGACAUGAUGGGGAGAGAACAAAAGCUUCAUCUGAGAGUGCAAGGAUAAUUAACUAGUUCCUUCAACUUGAGCCAUGCUGUGUGCAGUGCCCUACCCGGUAGGUACUGAUCACUUAGCCUACGUGUAAUUAGUACCUGUCUGGGUAGAGUAAGGCCAACAAGAACAACAUUUGAGGAGGCAUUCAGACCAGUGAAUAAGAUGGAGAUGCAUUGGGCCUUGAGUUGUGUGCUUUGCACUCAGGAGGGUCCUGACAGCCACGUUGGUUUGAUCUCAGGCAUCCUAGAGAGGAUUGCUGUCACUGGGUCCUAAGUAUGUGAACACCUGCAGGUUAUAGAAGAAGAUUCUUCCAAAAAGGAAAGAGGAGCAAGCUUGUUCUCUCUCUAGGUCCUCAUAAUUACCCAAGUAAGCAUAGAAGAGGAGAGGUGAUCCCCAGUGAGAGAGGAGUGCAAGUUAGAGGCAGUGAAUGGGCACUGUCCAAGGUUAUUGAAACAUCUUGUAUACAGUCAUCUUGAUGUGGGGAGAGAGAUGAGGGCUCCAUUGGAGAGGGCGAGUGGAUUGGGCAGGUUCUCUCAAUUUAGCCAUGCUGUGUGCAGUGUCCUACUCAGAAAGCUGGUGAUCGCUUAGACUACGUGUAGUUGCUACCUUCCUGGGUGGAGUGAUGCUUGACAGGAACAAGCUGGGUGGUGGCUAGUAGCAGUGAUGGAAGUGGAGCUGCAGGUAUCCUUGAGCUGGUCUGCCUUGCACUCAGGAGGGCCCUGACAACAACCUGGAUCUCAGGCAUCCUCAAGAUGAUUUCAGUGGGCCAUUCCUACCAGCGUGAUCUCUUCCAGGUUAGAGAAGAUGAAAAGAGUUCCUAAUAGAAGAUGGGAAAAUAGGGGCAAGCUUGUUCUCUGUGGAUCCUCAGGAUCAUCUGGUAGAGAUAGAACAGGUGAGGGGAUUCUCACUGAGAGAGGGUUGCGUUUGGAGGGCACCGGGUCUCUCUUGUCUAGGGUUGUAGAAAAACUUGGGUACAGUCCUUGUGACACUCUUGGGACAGAGAUGAAAGGUACUUUUGGGCAGAUCCUCCACUUUGAGCCAUUCUGUGUGCAGUGCCCUACCCGGUAAGGUAGUGAUCACUUAGAUGAGGUGUGAUCACUGCCUGUCUGGGUGGAGUAACGCACAACAGGAACAAUGUUUGGGAGGGUCUUCAGACUGGUGCUUGGGAUGGAGAUGGAUGUGUCCGCGAGGUGAUGCCUCCAACUCUGGGGGGCUGUGCAGUCAUCAUGGUUGAAUCUCAGGUAUUCACAUGAUGAUUUCCAUUUUCCGUUCCUAACAAAAUCCACUCCUGUAUCAUUGAGAGGAUGAAGGCACCAGCUUAGAGAAAUGUAAAUUUCGUAUGACUGUGCAAGGGUCAUUGCGAGGGUCAUCCACCUUGAAGCCAUGCUUCAGGAACUGUCCAGACAAGAAUGGUGCUCGUCAUUAAGACUACAUGUAAUUAGUGCAUGUCUGGGAUGGGUGAUGCUCAACACCACAAUGUUUGUGGUGGCCUUUGUAUGAGUGAUGGGGGUGGAGAUGGGUCCUUGAGCUGCCUAAUUUGAACUCACUAGGGACAUGGCUGCCAACUGAAUGCCAUGUAUGCAUCAUAUGGUUUGAUUGGUCCAUUCGUAAUAAUGAUAAUGUUUAGGGGUUAGAUUAGAUAAAGAUAUUUCCUAUGAGAGGAAGAGAGAAUUAGGAGCCAGCUUGUUCUCUCUGAAACCUCUUACUCAUCCAAGUAAACACAGAGGAGGGGAGGUGAUCCCAACAUCGGGAGCAUUGGAAGUUGGAGUGCAGUGGGCCAGCAUUGUUUGAGAUUAUGGAAAAAUCUUGGGUACAGUCAUCAUGACAUGGUGGGGAGACAACAAAUGCUUCCACUGAGAGUGUGAGGAAGACUGGGCAGAUGCACCACCUUGAGCCAUGCUGUGUGCGGUGCAGUAUCCAGAAGGUACUGAUCACUCAGCCUGCGUGUAAUUAGUACCUGUCUGGGUAGAGUAACGCUCAACAAGAACAACAUUUGUGGAGGCCUUCAUACUGGUGAAUAGGAUAGAGAUGUAUUUCUUCUUCAGGUGUGUGCUUUGCCAUCAGGUGGGCCCUGACAGCUACAUGGGUUCGAUCUCAGGCAUCCUACAAAGAAUGGCUAUUAUCCUUUCCUAAAUAUGUGAACACUGAUAGGUUAGAGAAGACUAAGAUUAUUUCUGAUAAGAAAGAUGAGCAAGCCUGUAGUGUCUGGGUCCUUGUAAUUGUCCUGGUAAACGUAGAAGAGGUGAGGUGAUCCCCAGUGAGAGAGGAGUGCAGUUUGGAGGGCAGUGGGUGGGCAGUGUCCAGGGUUAUGGAAACGUCUCAUGUACGGUCAUCAUGAUGUGGGGAGAGAGAUGAGGGCUACAUUGGAGAGGGUAAGUGGGAUGGGGCAGGAUCUCCCACUUCAGCCAUGUUGUGUGCAGUGUCCUACUCGGAAAACUACUGAUCACUUAGAGGACAUGUAGCAACAGCCUUUCUGGGUAGAAUGAUGUUCAACAAGAACAACAUUGCUGGUGGCCGGUAGCAGUGACAGGAGUGGAGCUUCAGGUAUCCUUGAGCUGGCCUGCCUUGUUAUCAGGGGAUUCCUGAUAGCCACCUGGAUCUCAGGCAUCCUCAAGAUGAUUUCAGUGGGCCAUUCCUACCAGCGUGCUCUCGUACAGGUUAGAGAAGAUGAAAAGACUUCUUAAUAGAAGAAGAGAAAAUAGGAACAAGCUUGCUCUGUGUGGCUCCUCUUAGUCAUCCGCUAAACAUAGAGCAGGUGAGGGGAUUCUCACUGUGGAAAGGUUGCUGUUGGAGGGCACUGGGUCUUCAUUGUCUAGGGUUAUAGAAAACCUUGGCUGCAGUCACUGUGACAUGCUUGGGACACAGAAGUGAAAGGUACUUUUGAGGAUGUGAGGAGAACUGGGCAGAUUCUCCACUUUGAUCCGUUCUGUGUGCAGUGCCCUACCCAGCAAGGUACUGAUCGCUUAGACGAGGUAUGAUCAGUGCCUGUCUGGGUGGAGUAAUGCUCAACAAGAACAACAUUUGGGAGGUUAGUCAGACUGGUGCUGGGGAUGGAAAUGGAUGUGUCCGUAAGGUGCCUGCCUCCAACUCUGGGGGGUCGUGCAGCCUCCCUGGUUGGAUCUCAGGUAUCCACAUGAUGAUUUCUGCCUUCGUUUGCUAACAAUAUGAACCCCUGUGAAUGUUUGAGAGAAUGAAGAUAUUGGCUUAUAGAAAUGUAAAUUUCGUAUGACAGUGCGAGUGGCAUUGUGUCGAUCCUCCAGCUUGAAGCCAUAUUUCAGGCUCUGUGCAGCUCAGAGUGACACUCAUCAUUUCGACUACAUGAAAUUGGUACCAGUCUGAGAAGAGUGAUGCUCAGCCAAAUGACAUUUGUGGCGGCCUUUGCAUGAGUGCUAGGGUUGGAGGUGGGUCCUUGAGCUGCCUAACUUGAACUCACUAGGGCCAUGGCUGCCAACUGAAUCCCCUGCAUCCACCAUAUGAUUUCAUUGCUCCAUUCGUAAUAAUGUGAAUGUUUAGAGGUCAGAGUAGAUGAAGUUAUUUCCUAGGAGAAGAAGAGAAAAUAGGAGCAAGCUUGUUCUCUCUGGGAUCUCACAGUCGUCAAAGUACAGGCAGAGGUGACGUGAUCCCCAUGUCAGAAGCGUUGGAAGUUGCAGGGCUGUGGGUCAGCAUUGUCUAAGGUUAUGGAAUAAUCUUAGCUACAGUCAUCAUGAUGUGGUGGGGAGAGUCACAAAACCCACACCGGACAGCAUGAAGGGGACUGGGCUGUUCCUCCACCUUGAGCCAUGCGGUGUGCAGUGCCCUGGCCAGAAUGGUGUCGAAUGCUCAGCCUACAUGUAUUCGGUGCCUUCUGGGUAGCAUAGUGCUCAACAUGACCGACGUUCUUGAUAGCCUUAUGACCAGUGUUUAGAGUGGAGCUUCAGGUGUUGUUGAGCUUUCUGCCUUGACCUUAGAAGGCCGUGCAUCCACCUGCAUCACAGCCUUCCUCAUGAUGAUGUAGUCUGUUCCUAACGUGGUGAAACCUACAGGUUAGAAAAAGUGAAGAUUAUUCCACAUACAAGGAUAGAAAAGCGGAUGAAGCUUGUCCUCUCUCGAUCCACAUCUUCCAUAUAAAUAUUAGCAGGUGAGCUGAUCCCCACGGAGGAAGAUAGUUCAGUUAGAUGGCAGUGAAUAUUUGCUAGGGUUCUGGAAAUACUUUAUGUACAGUCAACAUGUUAUGCUGGGAGAGUAUGAAAGCUUCAUCUGAGAGUGCAAGAAGGACUGGGCAGAUCCUCCACCCUGAGCCAUGUCAUGUGCAGUGCCCUGCCGGGAAGGUACUGAUCACUUAGCAUAUGUGUAAUUAGUACCUGUCCGGGUAGAGUAAUGCUCAAGAAGACCAUCAUUUUUGGAGACCUUCUGCCUGGUAUUGGAGAUGGAGAUGCAUGUGUGCUUGAGUCAUUGCCUUGAACUCAGGAGGGCCCUGCCUGACAGGCACGUGGGUUUGAUCUCAGGUGUCCUGAAAAUGAUUGGUUUCAUUCGUUCCUAUGUUAACUCCUAAACAUUGCAGAAAAUUAAGAUUUUUCCCAAUAGAAAAUAGGCAUAUGCUUGUUCUCUCUGUGUCCUCAUUAUUAUUCAGGGAGACCUAAAGCGGGUGUGGUGACGCCCACUCAGAAGGGGAAGUAUGUUGGAGGGCAUUGGGUCAACGUUUUCUAGGCUUAUGGUGAAUUCUUGGGAACAGUCAUGAUGUGGUGGGGAUGAAGAGGAAAUGAACCUUUGAGAGUGCGAGGGGCAUUGGGUUUGACCUGCACCUUGAGCUAUGCUGUAUUCAAUGCAUUGCCCAGAAUGGUGCCGACUAUUUUGAAUACGUGUAGUCAGUGCCUUCUAGGUAGGGUGAUGCUUGUCCAAACAAUGUUUUGCUGACAUCCAUGUGGAUCUAAGGCAUCCUCAAGAUGAUUGCUGUGGUCAGUUCCUAACAACGUGUACUCCCACAAGUUAGAGAAGAUGAAGAUGAUUUCUAAUGGAAGAAUAGAGAACUGGAGGAAGGUUUUUCUCUCUGCGUCCUCAUAGUCAUGCGGGUAAAUAGAGAGCAUUGAGCCUACCCCAAGGAGGAAAAGAAUCAAAUUGGAUGGCAAUGUGUCAGUGUUUUCCAGGAUUAUGAAAAAUCUUGUGUAUGGUCAACAUGUUGUGAGGAGAGAGAUCAAAGCACCAUUUGAGAGUAUGAGGUGGAAUGUUCAGGUUCUAUGUAUUUAGCCGUGAUGUGUGCAGUGUCCUACCCAGAAAUGUACUGAUCACUUAGACUACAUGUAUUUGGUGCCUUUCUGGGUAGAGUGAUGCUCAACAGGAACAACAUUGGUGGCAGCCAGUAACAGUGAUAGGAGUGGAGCUGUGGGUAUCCUUGAGGUGGCCUGCCUUGCACUCAGGAGUGCCCUGACAGCCACUUAGAUUUCAGGCAUCCUCAUGAUGAUUUCAGUGGACGAUUCAUACCAACGUGAUCUCGUGCAGGUUAGAGAAGAUGAAAAGACAUCCUAAGAGAAGAAGAGAAAAUAGGGACAAGCUUGUUCAUUGUGGAUCCUCAUAAUUGUCUUGUACACAUAGAACAGGCAAGGAGAUUCUCAGUGUGGGAGGGUUGCAGUUGGAGGGCAGUGGGUUGUCACUGUCUAGGGUUAGAGAACCACAUGAACAUAGUCAUCGUGACCUGGUGGGGACAGCAGUGAGAGCGGUGAGAGAAUCUGUGGGGAAUGGGUCAGGUCUUCCACUGGAGCCAUUCUUUGUGUAGUGCCCUACCCAUAAAGGUACGGAUCACUGAGGCUAUUUGUAAACGUGCCUGUCUGGGUAGAUUAAGACUCAACAGGAAAAAGGUCUGAGAUUGCCUUCAGUCUGGUGAUAGGGAUGAAAUGUAUGUUUCUUUGAGCUGCUGAUCCAGAGUACAAGAGGUCCCUUUCAGCUAACUGGGUCUGAACUCAGUCAUCUUGUAUAUGAUGUCAGAGCUCCGUUCAUAACAAUGCACACACUAAUGAGUUAGAGUAGAAGAAGAUACCUUCUAACAGAAAGAGACAAAACAUGAGCAAGCUUGUUCUCCCUGGGAAUUCAUAAUUGUCCAUGUAAACAGGGAGGAGGUGAGGUGAUUCCCACUAGGGAGGUUUGCAAGGUGGAGGGCAGUGGGUUAGUAUUAUCUAGGGUCAUGGAAGAAUCUAGACUACAAUCAUAAGGAUUUGAUGGGGAGAGUUAUGAAAUAUACAUUUGCGAGUGCAAGGCGGACUGUGCCCGUCCUCCACCUUGAGCCAUUUUGUGUGCAGCGCCCUGCCCAGAAUGGUUCCGAUUACGUAGAUUAAGUGUAGUCGGUGCCAUCUGGGUAGAGCGAUGCUCAACAUGAACAACGUUUGGGGUGUCUUUCAGAGCAGGUGUGGGAGUGGAGAUUGAGGUGUUGUGGAGCUUCCUGCCUUGACCUCAGGAGGGCCCUGGCAUCCACCUAGGACUCAGGCAUCCUCAAGAUGAUUGCUGUGGUCUCUUCCUUAUCCUGUGAACACCUACAGGUUAGAGAAGAUGAAGAUUAUUCCUAAUAGCAUCAUAGGAAACUAGAGGAAACGAGUCCUCUCUGCAUCCAUAUGUUCAUCCAGGUAAGCAUAGAGCAGGUGAGCAGAUCCCCACUAAGGAAGAGAAUCAAAUUGGAUGGCAGUCAAUCAGUACUUUCUAGGGUUAUGGAAAAAUCUUGUGUACAGUCGUCAUGACAUGGUGGGGAGACAACGAAUGCUUCAUCUGAGAGUGUGUGGAGGACUGGGCAGAUCCUCCACCUUGAGCCAUGCUGUGUGCAGUGCCCUACCCGGAAGGUACUGAUCACUUAGCCUACAUGUAAUUAGUACCUGUCUGGGUAGAGUAAUGCUCAACAAGAACAACAUUUGUGGAGGCCUUCAGACUGGUGAAUGGAGGGAGAUGCAUUUGUCCUUGAGUUUGUGCCUUGAACUCAGCAGGGCCCAGACAGCCACCUGGGUUGAUCUCAGGCAUGCUAGAGAGGAUUGUUGUUGUCCUUUCUUAACUCUGUGAACACCUACAGGUUAGAGAGAGGAAGAUUCUUCCUAAUAGGAAAGAGGAGCAAGCUUGUUCUCUCCGUGUGUCCUCAUAAUUACCCAAGUACACGUAGAAGAGGUGAGGGGAUCCCAAGUGAGAGAGGAGUGCAACUUGGAGGCAGUGGAUGGGCACUGUCCAGGGCUAUUGAAACGUCUUGUGUAAAGUCAUCUUGAUGUGGGGAGAGAGAUGGAGCUCCAUUGGAGAGGGCGAGUGGAUUGGGCAGGUUCUCUCAAUUUAGCCAUGCUGUGUGCAGUGUCCUACUCAGAAAGGUGGUGAUCGCUUAGACUACAUGUAGUUGGUACCUUCCUGGGUGGACUGAUGCUCAACAGGAAGAACCUGGGUGGUGGCUAGUAGCAGUGAUGGAAGUGGAGCUGCAGGUAUCCUUGAGCUGGCCUGUCUUGCAGUCAGCAGGGCCCUGGGAAGCCACCUGGAUCUCAGGCAUCCUCAAGAUGAUUUCAGUGGGUCAUUCCUACCAUCGUGAUCUCGUCCAGGUUAGAGAAGAUGAAAAGAGUUCCUAAUAGAAGAUGAGAAAAUAAGGGCAAGCUUCUUCUCUGUGGCUCCUCAUGAUUGUCUGGUAGAUAUAGAGCAGGUGAGGGGAUUCUCACUGAGGAAGGGUUGCAUUUGGAGGGCACUGGGUCUUUCUUGUAUAGGGUUGUAGAGAAACUUGGGUACAGUCCUUGUGACAGUCUUGGGACAGGGAUGAAAGGUACUUUUGACAAUGUGAGGAGAACUGGGCAGAUUCUCUACUUUGAGCCAUUCUGUGUGCAGUGCCCUACCCAGUAAGGUACUGAUCACUUACUUAGACUACAUGUGAUCAGUGCCUGUCUGGGUGGAGUAAUGCUCUACAAGAGCAACGUUUGGGAGGGUCUUCAGACUCCUCCUGGGAAUGGAGAUGGAUGGGUCUGUAAGGUGCCUGCCUCCAACUCUCGGGGGCCGUGCAGCCACCAUGGUUGGAUCUCAGGUAUCCACAAGAGGAUUUCCGUUUUCCAUUCCCAGCAAUGCAACGCCUGUGUGCUUGAGAGGAUGAAGAUGUCGGCUUAGAUAAAUGUAAAUUUCGUAUGUCUGUGCAAGGGUCAUUGUGAGGGUCCUCCAGCUUGAAGCCAUGCUUCAAGCGCUGUCUGGCACAGCAUGGUGCUCGUCAUUCAGACUACAUUUCAUUAGUACCUGUCUGGGACGAGUGAUGCUCAACCACACAGUGUUGCUGGUGGCCUUUGUAUGAGUGACGGUGGUGGAGAUGGGUCCUUGAGCUGCCUAACUUGAACUCACUAGGGCAGUGGCUGCCAAAUCAAUCCCCUGAAUCCAGGUUAUGACUUCAUUGGUCCUUUCAUAAUAAUGGGAAUGUUUAGGGCUUAUGGUGGAUAAAGGUAUUUCCUACGAGAAGAAGAGAAAAUUAGUAGCAAGCUUGUUCCAUCUGGGACCUGGUAAUCAUCCAAGUAAACACAGAGGAGGGGAGGUGAUCCCCACAUCAGGAGCAUAGGAAGUUGGACGGCAGUGGGUCAUCAUUGUUUGAGGUUAUGGAAAAAUGUUGGGUACAGUCAUCAUGACAUGGUGGGGAGGCAACGAAAGCUUCAUCUGAGAGUGUGAAGAGGACUGGGCAGAUCCUCCACCUUGAGCCAUGCUGUGUGUGGUGCCCUACCCGGAAGGUACUGAUCACCUAGCCUAUGUGUCAUUAGUACCUGUCUGGGUAGAGUAACUCUCAACAAGAACAACAUUUGUGGAGGCCUUCAGACUGCUGAAUGGGAUAGAGAUGCAUUUGUCCUUGAGUUGUGUGCUUUGCCCUCAGGAAGGACCUGUCAGCCACCUGGGUUUGAUCUCAGGCAUCCUACAGAGGAUGGCUGUCGUCAUUUCCUAAAUAUGUGAACACUUUCAGGUUAGAGAAGACUAAGAUUCUUUCUGAUAGGAAAGAGGAGCAAGCCUGUUGUCUCUGGGUCCUUGUAAUUGUCCCGGUAAAUGUGGAGGAGGUGAGGUGAUCCCCAGUGAGAGAGGAGUGCAGCUUGGAGGGCAGUGGGUGGGCACUGUCCCGGGUUAUGGAAAUAUCUUGUGUGCAGUCAUCAUGAUGUGAGGAGAGCAUUGCGGGCUACAUUGGAGAGGGUAAGUGGGAUGGGGCAGGAUCUACCACUUUAGCCGUGCUGUGUGCAGUGUCCUACUCAGAAAGGUACUGAUCACUUAGAGGACAAGUAGUCACUGCCUUUCUGGGUAGAAUGAUGCUCAACAAGAACAACAUUGAUGGUGGCCUGUAGCAGUGACAGCAGUGGAGCUUCAGGUGUCCUUCAGCUAGCCUGCCUUGUAAUCAGGGGAGUCCUGACAGCCACCUGGAUCUCAGGCAUCCUCAAGAUGAUUUCAGUGGGCCAUUCCUACUAGUGUGCUCUCAUAGAGGUUAGAGAAGAUGGAAAAACCUUCCUAAUGCAAGAUGAGGAAGUAGGGACAAGCUUGCUCUGUUUGGAUCCUCUUAGUCAUCCGCUAAACAUAGAGCAGGUGAGGGCAUUCUCACUGUGGGAAGGUUGCUGUUGGAGGGCACUGGCUCUUCAUUGUCUAGGGUUAUAGAAAACCUUGGCUGCAGCUGCUGUGACAUGCUUGGGACAGAGAGAUGAUAGGUACUUUUGAGGAUGUGAGGAGAACUGGGCAGAUACUCCACUUUGAUCCAUUCUGUGUGCAGUGCCCUACCCAGCAAGGUACUGAUCGCUUAGACGAGGUAUGAUCAGUGCCUGUCUAGGUGGAGUAAUGCUCAACAAGAACAACGUUUGGAAGCGUCAUCAGAGUGGUGCUGGGGAUGGAGAUGGAUGUGUCCGUAGGGUGCCUGCCUCCACCUCUGGGGGUCGUGCAGACGCCCUGGUUGGAUCUCGGGUAUCCACAUGAUGACUUCUGUGGUCCGUUCCUAACAAUUUCAAACCCUGUAUGAUGGAGCAAAUGAAGAUACUGGCUUAGAGAAAUGUAAGUUUCAUAUGACAGCACGAGUGGCAUUGUGUCGAUCCUCCACCUUGAUGCCAUACUUCAGGCUCUGUCCAGCCCAGAGUGGCGCUCCUCAUUUCGACUAUAUGUAAUUGGUACCAGUCUGGGAUGGAUGAUGCUCAGCCAAAUGACCUUUGUGGUGGCCUUUGUAUGAGUGCUGGGUGAGCUGCCUAACUUGAACUCCCUAGGGCCAUGGCUGCCAACUGAAUCCCCUGCAUCCACCAUAUGAUUUCAUUGCUCCAUUAGUAAUAAUGUGAAUUUUUAGAGGUCAGAGUAGAUGAAGUUAUUUCCUAGGAGAAGAAGAGAAAAUAGGAGCAAGCUUGUUCUCUCUGGGAUCUCGUAGUCGUCAAAGUACAGGCAGAGGUGACGUGAUCCCCACGGAAGAAGCGUUGGAAGUUGCAGGGCUGUGGGUCAGCAUUGUCUAAGGUUAUGGAAUAAUCUUGGUUACAGUCACCAUGAUGUGGUUGGGAGAGGCACGAAACCUGCAUCGGACAGCGCGAAGGGGACUGGGCUGUUCCUCCACCUUGAGCCAUGCAGCGUGCAGUGCCCUACCCAGAAUGGUGCCGAAUACUUAGUGUACAUGUAUUCGGCACCUUCUGGGUAGCGUAAUGCUCAACACGAACGACGUUCCUAUUGGCCUUAUGACCAGUGUUUAGAGUGGAGCUUCAGGUGUUGUUGAGCUUCCUGCCUUGACCUCAGAAGGGCCUUGCAUCCACCUGCAUCACAGCCUUCCUCAGGAUGAUUGCUGUUUUCCGUUCCUAACGUUUUGAACACCUACAGGUUAGAAAAGAUGAAGAUUAUUCCUCAUAGCAGAAUAGAAAAGUGGAGGAAGCUUGUCCUCUCUCGAUCCACAUCUUCUUCCAGGUAAACAUGUAGCAGGUGGUCCGAUCCCCACUGAGGAAGAGAAUCAAGUUAAAUGGCAGUGAAGAUUUGCUAGGGUUGGGGAAAUAUUUUGUGUACAGUCAACAUGUUGUGCUGGGAGAGAAUGAAAGCUUCACCUGAGAGUGUGAGAAGGACUGGGCAGAUCCUCCACCCUGAGCCAUGCUGUAUGCAGUGCCCUGCCCAGAAGGUACUUAUCACUUAGCCUACGUGUAAUUAGUACCUGUCCGGGUAGAGUAAUGCUCAAGCAGACCAUCAAUUUUGGAGGCCUUCUGACCGGUGAUGGAGAUGGAGAAGCAGAUGCACGUGUCCUUCAGUUGUGUGCCUUGAACUCAGGAUGGCCCUGACAGCCACGUGGGUUUGAUCACAGGUGUCCUCAAAAUGAUUGCUUUCAUUCAUUCCUAACAAUGUUAACACCUAGAGGUGGGAGCAAAUUAAGUGUCUUCCCAAUAGAAAGUAGGCACAAGCUUGUUCUCUCUGGGUCCUCAUUGUUAUUCAGGGAAACCUAAAGCAGGUGUGGUGAUGCCCACUCAGAACUGGAAGUAAGUUGGAGGGCAUUGGGUCGACGCUUUCUAGGCUUAUGGUAAAUUCUUGGGAACAGUCAUGAUGUGGUGGGGACGAAGAGGAAAUCAACCUUUGAGAGUGCGAGGGGCAUUGGGUUUGACCUGCACCUUGAGCUAUGCUGUAUUCAAUGCAUUGCCCAGAAUGGUGCUGAUUAUUUUGAAUAUGUGUAGUCGGUGCCUUCUAGAUAGGGUGAUGCUUGUUACAAGCAAUGUUUUGCUGACUUGUAUAGGUGAUGGGAAUAGAGCUUCAAGUGUUGUUGAGCCUCCUGCGUUGGCUUCAGGAAGGUCUUGGCAUCAAUGUAGAUCUCAGGCAUCCCCAAGAUGAUUGCUGUGGUCGAUUGCUAAAAAUGUGUACACCUGCAAGUUAGAGAAGAUGAAGAUGAUUUCUAAUAGAAGAAUGGAGAACUGGAGGAAGGUUUUUCUUUCUGGGUCCUCAUAGUCAUUUGGGUAGAGAGCACUGAGCAGACCCCAAGCAGGAAGAGAAUCAAAUUGGAAGGCAGUGUGUCAGUGUUUUCCAGGAUUAUGAAAAGUCAUGUGUACAGUCAUCAUGUUGUGAUGAGAGAGACCAAGGCCACAUUUGAAUGUGUGAGGUGGAUUAUUCAGGUCCCAGCUAUUUAGCCACGAUGUGUGCAGUGUCCUACCCAGAAAUGUACUGAUCACCUAGACUACGUGUAUUUGGUGCCUUUCUGGGUAGAGUGAUGCUCAACAGGAACAACAUUGGUGGCAGCCAGUACCAGUGAUAGGAGUGGAGCUGUGGGUAUCGUUGAGCUGGCCUGCCUUGCACUCAGGAGGGCCCUGACAGCCACCUGGAUCUCAGGCAUCCUCAAGAUGAUUUCAGUGGGCCAUUCCUACCAGCGUGCUCUCGUACAGGUUAGAGGAGAUGGAAAGACUUUGUAAUAGAAGAAGUAGGGACAAGCUUGCUCUGUGUGGCUCCUCUUAGUCAUCUGCUAAACAUAGAGCAGUUGAGGGGAUUCUCACUAUGGGAAGGUUGCUGUUGGAGGGCAAUGGGUCUUCACUGUCUAGGGUUAUAGAAAACCUUGGCUGCAGUCACUGUGACAUGCUUGGGACACAGAGGUGAAAGGUACUUUUGAAGAUGUGAGGAGAACUGGGCAGAUACUCCAUUUUGAUCCAUUCUGUGUGCAGUGCCCUACCCAGCAAGGUACUGAUCACUUAGACGAGGUAUGAUCAGUGCCUGUCUGGGUGGAGUAAUGCUCAACAAGAACAACAUUUGGGAGGGUCUUCAGACUGGUGCUGGGGAAGGAGAUGGAUGUGUCUGUAAGGUGCCUGCCUCCAACUCUGGGGGGUCGUGCAGCCUCCCUGGUUGGAUCUCAGGUAUCGAAAUGAUGAUUUCUCUGGUCAAUUUCUAAUAAUAUCAACCCUGUGUUUGUCCAAGCUGAUGAAGAUACUGGCUUAGAGAAACGUAAAUUUCAUAUGACAGCACGAAGGGCAUUGUGGCGAUCCUCCGGCUUGAAGCCAUGCUUCAUGCAAUCUCCAGCCCACAGUGGCGCUCCUCAUUACGACUACAUGGAAUUGUUACCAGUCUGGGACGAGUGAUGCUAAGCCAAACGACGUUUGUGGCGGGCUUUGUAUGAGUGCUGAGGUUGGAGGUGGGUCCUUGAGCUGCCUAACUUGAACUCACUAGGGCCAUGGCUGCCAACUGAAUCCCCUGCAUCCACCAUAUCAUUUCAUUGCUACACUCGUAAUAAUGUGAAUGUUUAGAUGUCAGAGUAGAUGAAGUUAUUUCCUAGGAGAAGAAGAGAAAAUAGGAGCAAGCUUGUUCCCUCUUGGAUCUCGUGAUCAUCCAGUAACCCUGGAUAUGGUGAGAGGAUUCUCACUAAUGGAGGGUUGCGAGUCAGAAGGUAGUGAGUUGUCAUUUUCUAUGGUUAUCUAAACAUCUUGGGUACAAUCAUCAUGAUGUGGAGAGGAGAGAGAUGGAAUCUACAUUUGAGAAUGCAUGUAGGACUGGGCAGCUUGUCCACCUUGAUCCAUGCUGUGCGUUGUGCCCUGCCUGAAGGAUGCCGAUUACUUAGACUAGGUUUAAUUGGUGUCUUCUUGGUUGAGUGAUGAUCAUUAAGAAAAACUGUUGUCGUAGCCCUAGGACCAGUAAUUGCGGUGGAGGUGCAACAGUCCUUGAGCUUCCCUUCUUGAACCCACCUGGAUCUCACUCAUCCUCAAGACCUUUAGGGUCUAACUAUGCCAUGGGCCAAUGAGGGUUAUCCCAAUUGAUAUCAGAAUGCAUUCUCAUAAUGUAUCUUGCUCAGCCUCUAAAUACCGAGUAAAGGAAACAAUCUUGGUUUUGGGUUUUGUGGGAGAAAUUUGCAAGUUUCUUCAUUGAUACCUGGAAAAGAUGUGAUAGGUUUAUAUGUAACCAUCAUAUUUUUAGAUUUUAUUGAUAUGUUUUAUAAUUUUGUAUAUUUAUCGUUUUUUCUGAUAAGUGGUUUUCUUGUGAACAUGCCUUCUAAUUUUUUUCUAUUUUUCACCCGUCCAUUUUACUCUUGACACUAAUUGCUGUUCUAGUUGUAUGUGGUUCUGAAAUUGUUUUCAGUGAAAUUUUAUUUCACGUAAUCUCUCUCUGAAUGCUUUAAGUAAUUAGCAAUCUUGAAGUUUUCUCUUGCAAAGGUUUAUUUUAUUCAGAGAUCUAAGCUCUAAAAUAAUGAUUUGAAAUGGCUUUGUGUCCUCAUCCAGGUUUGCUAUGAGCUCUUCGUAAAACAGUAAUUUCUAGAGAAAUUUAGGUAUGAGUAAUCGAUAGUUUAACUAAUGUUAAUAAUCAGAUAUAUGUUUUUUUAUUAAGAGAAAUGUUUUCGUUAUGGUCAAAUAAGAAAAUAUAUAUGAGAAAAAUCUGCAUGAAAUUCUGAAUUCUAUUACCUCAUUGCUGAAUAUGCGUGUUCCCUUUAUAGCCACCGUCUUGAGGGUGUCUUGGUUGCUUGCUUAUGUCCAAACUUAUCAAGCUGUAUGCACUAACCGGGUGCAGUUUUUGGUAUAUCAAUUAUACCUCAAUAAAGCUGUUAAAAAAAGAAAGAAAAACAAAGUAUAUUACCUCCUAAAUAAGCAUUCCUUCAGCAAGUGAAUUAUGAUUACUACUGCCAUCACCCCUGCUGCUGCUCCUCUGAGUUUAACUAGUACUGAUCCUACUCCUGCUCUGUUUAUUUGGAGCACAGACAACACUUUACGUGGUCACCUUUUAACAGGGUGGUAUCCCUGGCAAUAUUCAUGGCUAUAGGACCUGGCUAUAUCACAUAUGACAUAACUUUUUUAAGAAAUAAUGUUGUUCUGUUGAUACAUAUGGAUAUUUUAAAAUUCUCAGCAAGUUGAGUAAAAUGAGGAAAUGAUUUUGAUAAUUUAAUAAUACCGUGUAAGGAUCAUGCUCUUCUAGAACACAUAUUUCGCCAAUUCCGUAUGCUUGGUGUUCAUCACACAGCUAUAUUUUUCAUGUUACACGAAAGAUGUAGAUACCCAUGUUUAACUGUAAUUUCCAGGGCAUAAUGGUUCAUUUCUGUUUCAUAUAUUUAUUGAUAUAUAUAUAUAUAUUUAAUUUGCUUAUUCUUUAGAACACUUCAUUUAUAUUCAUGCCUGGAUAGAUUCAUUUUCAUUCAAUUCAAGCCUUGAAGACUGAGGGAACACAUUGUGGAGGGUAUAGGUUAAUGGCUACAAAUGACAAAAAAUUUUGAUUUUUUCAGCCACAAUUUCAAAUUAUACAGUAGGGCUUUAUCCAUGCCUCUGUUGCUUUGAACUCAGCUUCUCUUCUUCAUCCAUGUUGACACUCUUCAGAUGAUUGCAUUUUAUAUUGAUAUGCAUUUUGGUUCCUGCUAUUGUUAUCACUCAAUUAUUAUCUUCUUUGUUUAGGUCACUCUUGAGUUUCACCAGGUUAGACCUGAUUGCACUGCUGAUUUUAAAGUUGUAAAAGAAGCAACAUUUUGUUUGUACUACCUGGAGUAAGGUUGCUUCCAGUUGAUGCAGUUCCUUUUCCUUGCCACUGGGACCCAAGACACCUGGAGAACUCUAGCAUGAAUGAUGGGCAGGGGCAGAGUAAAAUUGCUUUUCACUUAAAUGCAGGAUUUCUUUGUUUACGUGUGAGGAAUUUGCUUUGAUAGUGGUGGAAAUUAAUGAUAUGAGAAUAUAGUCAUUGAUGUGUCUUUCACUAGGUUACAGAAACAUUUAGAAUAUAUCUCCUCACCUUUAACACCAAUUCUAUAAUUAAUAACAAUUUUUAUGAUGAAGUGUGUUGAGGAUGAAUUUAACAUGUGAAUGAAAUCUAAGCACCCGGAUUGGCAGGUAAGUUAGCAUUAAGCCAGUGUUAAAGAUGGUCGUUAUUAGUGUUUAAUAAUUAUGGCUGUCUUAACAUUAAAAUUUAUGACCGUUUUCUUACAGAUAGGAAGCACUGGUGAGAGUAAAGUUAAGAGACUUGGUUAUUUCCCCCAUAGAAAGAGAGUUGAAUAUUCAUGUUGGAGUUUUUUGUAUUAUUUUUUCAUGAUAAAAAUAUUUUUGUCUCACAGUGACCAGAGAAUCAAAGAGAUAUAUGUGGAUAGAUCUGCAUAUUCCACAUUUACAUUUUAAUAGUGUUUACUUUGUUAAACCUUAAUGUUCAAAUCCAUUUUCUCCUUUUGAACAAACAUAUACUGUGGUGUUUAACUUUGUGUGUCAUCUUGGCCAGGCUGUGGUACCCAAAUUUGGUCAAACACGAGUAUAGAUGUUGCUGUGAAUUAGGAUUCAAAUCAGUAGACUUUAAGUAAGGCAGAUUACCCUCUAUAGUGUGGGUGAGCCACAUCCAAACAGUUGAAGGCCAGGUCCCCCAAGGGAGAGGAGAUUCUGCCUCCAGACUGCCACAGGGACUCGAGAUGCAACAUCAGCUCUUCCCUGGGUCUCCACUCUGCCAGGCUGCUCUGCAGAUUUCAGACUUACCAGCCCAAACAAUCACGUGAGCCAAUUCCUUCAAAUAAAUCUCUUUUUCUCUCACUCUCCUCUUUAUGUUUGUGUGUGUAAAUCUGAUUGGUCCUGUUUCUCUGGAGAACCCUAAUACAUAUUCCAUGUCAUCUUAAAAGAAGCUGACAAGGGGCCAGCCCAUUGGUGUAGUGGUUAAGUUCACACACACUGCUUCGGUGGCCAGGGGUUCGUGGGUUUGGAUCCCAGGCCAAGCCUACACACCACUUGUCAAGCCAUGCUAUGGUGGUGUCCCAUAUACAAAAUAGAGGAAGAUUGACACAGCUGAUAGUUCAGGGAAAAUCUUCCUCAAGCAAAAAGAGGAAGAUUGGCAACAGAUAUUAGCUCAGGGCCAGUCUUCCUCACCCCCUCCCAAAACAAGAAAGAAAAAGAAAAGAAACUGACAUGUAUUUCUGUGAGUAUGUGUAAUGUGGCUUCAUUUUUCAACAGAUGGGAUUAUGCCCUGAGCUUUGUGUAAUAUGGUGAAACCAUGAGUGUGAAAAAGACUGAUAUCCUACUACAUCAAAUGCUUUUUCUGGUUAAAGUUUAAAAUGUAACUAUUUCAUGGUAUCAACUUUAAGGUUCCAAAAGUAUUUUCAGAUGUUGCCUCAUGACAAAUCAGGGCUGUAGAGUUACUAAAAGUUUAUUCAGUUCUGGGUUGUGAGUGUCUAACCACAGAAAUGUUUCAUGUACCUUGUCUCCCAGAAGUGUUGGAAAUAGGAUCUAGAAGCCUGAAGUGAGACAUAUGGCCAUCUGGCCAGUGCUGCCACCAUUAAGAAGCCAAACAGCCUCUCAGAUAAUGAAUUGCAAUAUCUUGUGGAGUUUAUCAGCUAUUUGUCAAGUUACCAAAAAGUUCCCACAGAGAUUUUAAUCUGAUUAUCUUAAAAACAUAGAUGAAAUUGAGAAAAUUCCACAUUUCUACAGUGUCAACUUCAUGUUUGGGAGCAUGGAUGAUUUUUCAGUUUUCUUGAAAUGAACAAUAUCUAAUUUCAAUAUAUUGAGAUAGAAAAAUGAAGUCACAUGUCAUUUCGUUAUAAUCAAUAAGUUCUUUUCAUUGCAAACUCAAACCAGCCAAUCAGCACUACUGCAGGCUGUGCGGGGACUGUGCCCUUCUAAUCCCAUUGACAGUUGAUCCUUUGCACCUAUGAUGUUCUUGUGUGUUCAGUAAAUCUGAUGUCAUUGGGGAAAAAAAAGACUAACACACGUUUUGCCUGAGAAUCUAAUGAGAACUUCCAUAUAAAAGUCUCAUAUCACAGGGUCUACCAUGAGCAUCCGUGCUUCUUCAUCCUUUCCUUUUGUUGGUUUAAUGAUAUAGUAUGUAUUUCGGCAGACAUUUCUUCAUGUGCAUAAUAUCCUCCACAGUCCUAUUUUUUCAGGUCCAUAUGUUGGUACAUGUCCUUCCACUGGUUUUUCAACCUUAAACACACAUAAACAUUAUAGUUCCUGGGUUUGCUAUGAGGAUUUCAGAAGAUAAUCCACACUUAGCACAGUUUUUGGAAACUAAACCCUAGCCUCAGUUCUUGAAAUACUGUUGGAGGAAGUCAUCAAGAGUACGUGACUGCCAGUUGACCUGAGAGCUGGACCCAGGCAAUUGGAGGCUCCUUAACUUUCCCCUGCCUUGGGAAUGGACGUUCCACCCACUAUUCCCACUCUUGGAGGCAUUUCAGGGAUGCAGCUUGAGAUAAUAAUGUGUUGUUGAGACCAUCCGGACAGUAUACGCAACUGAACCCAGAAUAGAGAACAAGAUUGGAGAGGCUCUUGUUUCAAUCAUCAAAAGGCCCAAGUUACUUAAUAAUAAAAAUUGUUUUUUCAGUCUAACCUGUGAAAAAUCGCAAAGAUAUAAACUGAAGAAGUUAAUAAUCUUCUUGCACAUCCUUUCUCUUCCACAGUGCAGAUAUUGAAAAGGUACAUACUUGUGAUCCUGGAUAGCAAAACCCAAUGUUAUAUUGAUGUUAUCUUCUCUCAAAUACAUCUACAUUGUUUUGGCAAUUUCAAUUUAACACUCUAUUAUGCCUCUGGAAAUUCGUCAAAGUGAUAUUAAAGUUCAUCUGUAAGACUAAAUGGGUGACGAUGUUUAAAAAUACAAAAUACAAGAAGAGCAAUGAGGUAUAUUUAAAGUAUCAAAUAAAUUGUAUUCUAAAGCUAUAAUGAAUACAGGAAUGCAGCACUGGCACAGAAAUCGACAGAUAGCUGAACUGAUCUUAUUGUUCAGAGUUAAGCAAAUUCACUAAUGUUUUUCCAUAGUCCCUAAAAUAUUGUUGAUAACUUUGCUUCUAGCUAUCUUACAAAUUUUCUUUCUAUUGCAAAUGAACAUAUUUUUCCAUCAUACUAUUUAAUUUCUUAUUGCUGUUAUAUAGGAAAGCUGUUGAUUUCAGUAUAUUUAAUUUUGCUUAUGCACCUAACUGAACUAUCUUAGUAGUGCUCAUCAUUUUCAGUUCAUGCUAGGAUGAUGGUCAUGUUAUCUAUGUCACAGAUCCAGUGUAACAUUAAAACCAAGCCACAGCCUCAUUGUCAUAGUCAGUAAGUGGUAUCUAUUGUCCAAUCACACUCUGUCCUAACUACCCACUAUAGUCUUUUUGACAUGGUUUACUAACCCUAGUAUUUACCAUCAUAUCCCAGAAGACGUGGUUAACGUCUAUAAUCAGUUGACUGUAGGGAAAGUAAAUUACCCUCCAUAAUGUGGAUGGACGUCAUCCAAGCUGUUGAAGGCCUUAAGAACAAGAACUGAAGCUUCUUGGAGGAGAAAUUUUGCCUCAAGACUGCAACCUCAGCUACUAGCCAAGUCUGCUGACCUGCUUUAGACUUCAAAUAUGCCUGCCUCACAAUCUGGAAAGCAUGUAGUGCUGAAGUCCCUGCAGCCUUUUCUGAAGAACCUGUGUAUCCCCACAGUGGAGCCAGCAUUGGGUCACCAGCCACACAGGACAUUUACAACUGACAGAAAACGAAAACUCCGACCAGCUAAAUAAGAACCCAAGGCAGAUGUCAGGCCUGAACUUGGAGAGAAGGAUGAGCACAGGAUAGGGGAGAAGCUUUGUAUUGGAUGUGAGAUUGCAAUUUUAAUUUGGACUGGGCUGGACUUUCGAAUCCCUGAAAGUGAGCCAUGGGAAUUUUUUUUAUAACCCUCUGUGACCAAAACUGUGGAAUCGGUGCUUCCAGUGGUGGAGCAGGGAGGUCCUUCAGAGCAGAGAAGAGAACAGUAUUUGGAGAAAGAUAGAGUCAUUUCCUUUUUGUGUCUUAUCACAGUC